rnacentral:rRNA from 1 species
UACGGAAGGCAGCAGUGGGGAAUAUUGCACAAUGGGCGCAAGCCUGAUGCAGCCAUGCCGCGUGUAUGAAGAAGGCCUUCGGGUUGUAAAGUACUUUCAGUCGUGAGGAAGGUGUUAAGGUUAAUAACCUUAGCAAUUGACGUUAGCGACAGAAGAAGCACCGGCUAACUCCGUGCCAGCAGCCGCGGUAAUACGGAGGGUGCGAGCGUUAAUCGGAAUUACUGGGCGUAAAGGGCACGCAGGCGGUUAAUUAAGUUGGAUGUGAAAUCCCCGGGCUUAACCUGGGAAUGGCAUUCAAGACUGGUUGGCUAGAGUCUUGUAGAGGGGGUAGAAUUCCAUGUGUAGCGGUGAAAUGCGUAGAGAUGUGGAGGAAUACCGGUGGCGAAGGCGGCCCCUGGGACAAAGACUGACGCUCAUGUGCGAAAGCGUGGGGAGCAAACAGGGAUUAGAUACC